GAGUUUGAUCCUGGCUCAGAUUGAACGCUGGCGGCAGGCUUAACACAUGCAAGUCGAACGGUAACAUGAGUGCUUGCACUUGAUGACGAGUGGCGGACGGGUGAGUAAAGUAUGGGGAUCUGCCGAAUGGAGGGGGGCAACAGUUGGAAACGACUGCUAAUACCGCAUAAAGUUGAGAGACCAAUGCAUGGGACUUACGGGCCAUGCGCCAUUCGAUGAGCCCAUAUGGGAUUAGCUAGUUGGUAGGGUAAUGGCUUACCAAGGCGACGAUCUCUAGCUGGUCUGAGAGGAUGACCAGCCACACUGGAACUGAGACACGGUCCAGACUCCUACGGGAGGCAGCAGUGGGGAAUAUUGCACAAUGGGGGGAACCCUGAUGCAGCCAUGCCGCGUGUAUGAAGAAGGCCUUCGGGUUGUAAAGUACUUUCGGUGAUGAGGAAGUUAUGUGUGGGAUAAGCACAUAUAAUUGACGUUAGUUACAGAGGAAGCACCGGCUAACUCCGUGCCAGCAGCCGCGGUAAUACGGAGGGUGCGAGCGUUAAUCGGAAUGACUGGGCGUAAAGGGCAUGUAGGCGGAUAAUUAAGUUAGGUGUGAAAGCCCUGGGCUCAACCUAGGAAUUGCACUUAAAACUGGUUAACUAGAGUAUUGUAGAGGAAGGUAGAAUUCCGCGUGUAGCGGUGAAAUGCGUAGAGAUGUGGAGGAAUACCGGUGGCGAAGGCGGCCUUCUGGACAGAUACUGACGCUGAGAUGCGAAAGCGUGGGGAGCAAACAGGAUUAGAUACCCUGGUAGUCCACGCUGUAAACGAUGUCGAUUUGGAGUUUGUUGCCUAGAGUGAUGGGCUCCGAAGCUAACGCGAUAAAUCGACCGCCUGGGGAGUACGGCCGCAAGGUUAAAACUCAAAUGAAUUGACGGGGGCCCGCACAAGCGGUGGAGCAUGUGGUUUAAUUCGAUGCAACGCGAAGAACCUUACCUGGUCUUGACAUCCACAGAAUCUUGCAGAGAUGCGAGAGUGCCUUCGGGAACUGUGAGACAGGUGCUGCAUGGCUGUCGUCAGCUCGUGUUGUGAAAUGUUGGGUUAAGUCCCGCAACGAGCGCAACCCUUAUCCUUUGUUGCCAUUGGUUAGGCCGGGAACUCAAAGGAGACUGCCGUUGAUAAAGCGGAGGAAGGUGGGGACGACGUCAAGUCAUCAUGGCCCUUACGACCAGGGCUACACACGUGCUACAAUGGCGUAUACAAAGGGAGGCGA
rnacentral:rRNA from 1 species